CUUUUGCUCUCGUUGUCUGUUCGACCUUGAAUUUUUCUCAAAAACAUAGAAAUAUUAUAUAUUCAGAACUUUUUUUUUUUUUUAUCAAUAAAUAAAUAAAAUAAAACCCUCAAUUUUGGAUGGAUUCAUUGGUAGGUUUAGGUAGCAGCCGAAGGACUAUACAU
rnacentral:pre_miRNA from 1 species